rfam:Camelus ferus unplaced genomic scaffold scaffold131, whole genome shotgun sequence.
GAGGGUAUAGAUCAAAUGGUAGAGCGCAUGCUUAGCAUGCAUGAGGUCCUGGGUUCAAUCCCCAGUACCUCCU